rnacentral:lncRNA from 1 species
ACACUAUUACAAUUUUUAGUUUAGCAGUUCAGAAUCUGAUACUUUUUGCCGGAGCUCUUCUGAAUGUCCAUUUGCUCUCAAAUUUGACAGUCAAGCUUGGUUUAAAUUAAUAAGAAGAACGAUAUCUUAACUUUUCAGUUUGGAUCAUUUUUGGUCACCAAAAGCUCUACCGAUUAAAAUCUCUAGCAGAUAGCAGUCAGAUUUUAUUUUCCACCUUUCGGGUGUCGGAAUGAUAUGAAACUUUAAAUCUAGCCUCAGAAAAAUAAUUCCGAUAUAUUCUCAAAUUUUCAUAACUUUCUGACACUGUGAAUUUUCUGCUAAAAGAUCAGUCCCGCUUCUUACAGAAAAUUUUAAAUCUUUUAUUUCUAUUCCAAUUUCACCGCAAAUCAUCUCUAAAUUAUCUUUUUAAGUUAUUCCCCAUCAAAACUUCAUAAUUGUA